rnacentral:rRNA from 1 species
GCGAAGAACCUUACCUACUCUUGACAUCCAGAGAACUUUCCAGAGAUGGAUUGGUGCCUUCGGGAACUCUGAGACAGGUGCUGCAUGGCUGUCGUCAGCUCGUGUUGUGAAAUGUUGGGUUAAGUCCCGCAACGAGCGCAACCCUUAUCCUUGUUUGCCAGCGAGUAAUGUCGGGAACUCCAGGGAGACUGCCGGUGAUAAACCGGAGGAAGGUGGGGACGACGUCAAGUCAUCAUGGCCCUUACGAGUAGGGCUACACACGUGCUACAAUGGCGCAUACAGAGGGCAGCCAACUUGCGAAAGUGAGCGAAUCCCAAAAAGUGCRUMGURGUCCGGAUUGGAGUCUGCAACUCGACUCCAUGAAGUCGG